GAUGAAGAACGCAGUGAAAUGCGAUAAGUAAUGUGAAUUGCAGAAUUCCGUGAAUCAUCGAAUCUUUGAACGCACAUUGCGCCCCCUGGAAUUCCGGGGGGCAUGCCUGUUCGAGCGUCUCAGGGACGAACCCUCGCGCGGGUGUACGCGCGGUCGUGGCUGCGGUGGCGUGCCCGAGGCGGCGGCCACCGCGCUGGAAUCCAUGGGCGGACGCCUGCCGCGUGGCCGAGCGUGAUAUGACGCAUUGGCGCUCGCACGCGGCGAGGCUGCCAGCCCUGGCCCGUCUGUCGGGCGGGGGAGAGCAAGACACGUGAACUCCUCGAAUCAGGUAGGGAUACCCGCUGAACUUAAGCAUAUCAAUAAGCGGAGGA
rnacentral:misc_RNA from 1 species